rfam:Gossypium arboreum cultivar AKA8401 contig_15472_5, whole genome shotgun sequence.
AACCCAUGGUGAGGUCACCUUCUUAAUAGGUCCUUGUAUCUCUCCCAUGCAUCGUAAAGGGUUUCUAAAUCCGUCUGCACAAAAGAAAAGAUAUCAUUCCUUAGUUU